rnacentral:tRNA from 1 species
UCCCUGGUGGCUGAGAGGGUAAAGCGUCUGUCUGCAAUGCAGGAGACCCGAGUUCAAUUCCUGUGUUGGGAA